UCAUAUCUCCUAAUCCGACCGUCCAAACAAAUUCAAAUUUUACAUGAAGUACUGAUGUAUUCUUAUUAACUUCUACAACAAAUUUCAACUGCAAAUUCAUUGCAGAUCUUGAAAUAUCUUGAAAAUCCUAACAGUUGCUUCAAACCCUUAUCUUUAUACAUCUGCAUGCAAUUUUCUUCAUAUCUCACAAAAUAUAAGCUCAAAUGCCACGAAAUUUGUAUGUAUAGCUUUUUAAUACAAAAUUUUACAUUCU
rnacentral:lncRNA from 1 species